rnacentral:rRNA from 1 species
UUAAGGGCGCAUGGUGGAUGCCUUGGCACUAGGAGCCGAUGAAGGACGGGACUAACACCAAUAUGCUUCGGGGAGCUGUAAGUAAGCUUUGAUCCGGAGAUUUCCGAAUGGGGGAACCCAACUUGUUAUGCAAGUUAUCACCUAAUGAAUAUAUAGUUAGGUUGAAGGUAGACGUUGUGAACUGAAACAUCUCAUUAGCAACAGGAAUAGAAAGAAAAAUCGAUACCGUCAGUAGCGGCGAGCGAAAUCGGUAGAGCCCAAACCAAAGUGCUUGCACUUUGGGGUUGUAGGACUGACAUUGUGGAGUUACAAAGUUAACAUUUAGCAGAAUCAGCUGGGAAGCUGAGCGAGACAGGGUGAUAGCCCCGUAUGCGAAAAGUGUUGACCUCCCGUCAGGAUCCUGAGUACGGCCGGACACGUGAAAUCCGGUCGGAAUCCGCGAGGACCAUCUCGCAAGGCUAAAUACUCCCUAGUGACCGAUAGUGAACCAGUACCGUGAGGGAAAGG